AGCAGCCGCGGUAAUUCCAGCUCCAAUAGCGUAUAUUAAAGUUGUUGCAGUUAAAAAGCUCGUAGUUGAAUUUCGGGAUCAAUAUUUCGGUCAUGCCGUUGGUAUGCACUGUUAUCAUUGAUUUCUCACCUUCUAAAGAACCGUGAUGCCAUUAAUUUGGUGUUACGGGGAAUUAGGACUGUUACCUUGAAAAAUUAGAGUGUUUAAAGCAGGCUCACGCUUGAAUACAUUAGCAUGGAAUAAUGAAAUAGGACAUCCGAUUCUAUUUUGUUGGUUUCUAGGAUCGAUGUAAUGAUUAAUAGGGAUAGUUGGGGGCAUUAGUAUUCAAUUGUCAGAGGUGAAAUUCUUGGAUUUAUUGAAGACUAACUACUGCGAAAGCAUUUGCCAAGGAUGUUUUCAUUAAUCAAGAACGAAAGUUAGGGGAUCGAAGACGAUCAGAUACCGUCGUAGUCUUAACCAUAAACUAUGCCGACUAGGGAUCGGAUGAUGUUAAUUUUUAAUGACUCAUUCC
rnacentral:rRNA from 1 species